rnacentral:rRNA from 1 species
AUACGUAGGGGGCGAGCGUUGUCCGGAAUGAUUGGGCGUAAAGGGCGCGUAGGCGGCGCGGUAAGUCUGGAGUGAGAGUCCUGCUUUCAAGGUGGGAAUUGCUUUGGAUACUGCCGCGCUUGAGUGCAGGAGAGGUUAUCGGAAUUCCCGGUGUAGCGGUGAAAUGCGUAGAGAUCGGGAGGAACACCAGUGGCGAAGGCGGGUAACUGGACUGCAACUGACGCUGAGGCGCGAAAGUGUGGGGAGCAAACAGGAUUAGAUACCCUGGUAGUCCACACUGUAAACGAUGAAUGCUAGGUGUAAGAGGUAUCGACCCCUUUUGUGCCGGAGUCAACACAAUAAGCAUUCCGCCUGGGGAGUACGGCCGCAAGGUUGAAACUCAAAUGAAUUGACGGGG